rnacentral:lncRNA from 1 species
AGGCUGCCUGGGUCUGAAAGGGACCUGGCCACUUAGGGGGAUCAGUGAAUCAGUUAAGUAAUGCAGGGGGCCACAAAGGAAGCCCACUGGGUCAUGUGCUUGACGGGGAGGGCUGCAGACAAGCCUGGCCCUCUGGCUGCAGCAUGGAAGUGUGGCCCUGCUUCAGGCCCUAAUGGGCCCGGGAAGGUCAGGAGCUGCCGUCUUUGGAGGAAUGGUGUUUGUGUUGGCAUCCAUGGGCCCUGUAGCCCUGCCAACUCUCACAGCAUGUGACACUGUCAGGAGACUGGAGGUGUGAGGCAGAAGUCAGCUGGAGAGGCUCCUGCGGCCGGCCGGCCGCCUGCUUCCAGGCGCUGCUUCACUCCUUGGAUGCACUUGCCCUAAAGGUUGACCGAUAGCUGCUGAUGCAAGCGCCAGAGAUCUUGUCCUGAGGUGAUGUGCUCGGAGGCUGCAGAGAACCCGUCUGUCUGUCUAGGUCCGUCUUUAAGAUUAAGGAAACUUUCCCCAGAAGUGUUCCCAGAACUUGCUUCUGGGUCUCAUCGGCCAAAGUUCAGCCACACACUCAUUCCUGUAACUCCUAGUCGGGGUAACGUAGGUUCUUUGCCUAGCAGGUAUCAUGGUGCACAUCUGGAAUCCCAGAAUUCAGGAGGCAGAGGAAAGAGGAUUGCUAGCUCAAGGCCAGCCUGGGCUACAGCGAGACGCCUCCUAAAACAAAAACAAGCCAGGUGGUGGAGAGGUAGCUUGUGUUUUCUUCAGUUCUUCGAUCCUGAUGGAAUUUAUUUCCAUGCUAAGAGUGAGCUGAUCCUGUGCGGACUCUGGGCUCCAGCCAUUUUAAUUACUCUUGCUGUGCAGUGUUCUGCAGAAUGUCUGCCAGACCUACCCUUCCGUGCUUAGUGUGCUUUGCUUUUCUCUGGAAUUUUUCUGUCUAUUCUUUUAUAUAUGUCCCCCCACCCCCAAUUAAAAUUGUCAUCAUCCCAUGGC